CCUACGGGAGGCAGCAGUGGGGAAUAUUGGACAAUGGGCGCAAGCCUGAUCCAGCCAUGCCGCGUGAGUGAUGAAGGCCUUAGGGUUGUAAAGCUCUUUUGUCCGGGACGAUAAUGACGGUACCGGAAGAAUAAGCCCCGGCUAACUUCGUGCCAGCAGCCGCGGUAAUACGAAGGGGGCUAGCGUUGCUCGGAAUCACUGGGCGUAAAGGGCGCGUAGGCGGCCAUUCAAGUCGGGGGUGAAAGCCUGUGGCUCAACCACAGAAUUGCCUUCGAUACUGUUUGGCUUGAGUCCGGUAGAGGUUGGUGGAACUGCGAGUGUAGAGGUGAAAUUCGUAGAUAUUCGCAAGAACACCGGUGGCGAAGGCGGCCAACUGGACCAGUACUGACGCUGAGGCGCGAAAGCGUGGGGAGCAAACAGGAUUAGAUACCCUGGUAGUCCACGCCGUAAACGAUGAGUGCUAGCUGUUGGGGUGCUUGCACCUCAGUAGCGCAGCUAACGCUUUUAAAGCAUUCCGCCUGGGGAGUACGGUCGCAAGAUUAAAAACUCAAAAGGAAAUUGACGG
rnacentral:rRNA from 1 species